AAGCUGAAGGAGUCAAAUGUCAAGUUCUCCUGGAGAAAGGGAAGGAAUCUGUGAACACUUUGUCCGUUUGUCUUUUGCUUUUGCUGUUCCCUCUGGAGGGGAGGUUCCUCACUGGACAUCGGCACUGAUCUGCUGCCACACUUUCUUCAGUUCCUUCAUCAGAAGUCACCUUCCCAAUGAAGGCUUCCUAGGAAUUCAACCCCAAAGGGUACGGGUACGUGAGCCAGGCCAGCACUGGGAAUGAUGCAUACCAACUCGCCAUUUAACUCCUGCUUGUGCUUUGCCAAGAGACCUUCCAGAGGACAGAGAUAUAAAAUCACACAGAAGAGUGCCCUGGGAUGAGAUUAAAAAAACAAGUUGCAGACCCAAACUACAUGGGUCACAGUUUGCCAACUCCUAGUAUAGCGGUUCUUGAAGUUUCAAUGGAGACUGACUUAUCUCAAAAGAAGCAGAGCUGUGGGUAGCCUUUGGAUCAAGGACC